UACGUAGGGUGCGAGCGUUGUCCGGAAUUACUGGGCGUAAAGAGCUCGUAGGUGGUUUGUCGCGUUGUUCGUGAAAACUCACGGCUUAACUGUGAGCGUGCGGGCGAUACGGGCAGACUGGAGUACUGCAGGGGAGACUGGAAUUCCAGGUGUAGCGGUGGAAUGCGUAGAGAUCCGGAAGAACACCGGUGGCGAAGGCGGCCCGCUGGGCAGGAAGGCUCGCAAGAGCCGGCUGACGCUGAGGCGCGACAGCGUGGGGAGCAAACAGG
rnacentral:rRNA from 1 species